rnacentral:lncRNA from 1 species
UUAAAAUCCAACCCUAAUCCUUUCCCCAAAGAUUAAGAACUCAUCCCUAAGAUCAAGAAUUUCAGGAAAAGGAACAAGAUCCGGGUUCCAUCUUUCAAACUAAAUUAUCUAAGGUGCGUGGGGUUUUCCUAUACCUAUAUGGGCAUGGUAAAUUAUUCUUAAUCAUCCUAAAAGUUUAGAAAUCAUGAAUUUACAAAAAGAGAUUUUUGAUUUAUAAUUAGAUUUAUGCUUUUAAUGUUUUUGAUGAUAUUGAUUUGGUCUUGAGGCCUUUCCCCCAAAUUGAUUUGUAAUCUUAUAUAUGUAUGUAUGUGUUUAAGUUGUUAAUUGAAUUUAGAGCAUGAUUAUUUACGUUCCGUCUCAUGUUGCAAUACCUCUUGAUUUUAGAAUAUUAUUUAGAAGCAUGGUAUCAAUGUUCUUGACUAUUGUUGAACUAUUUAUGAUUGAUUUUAAAUUGAUGAGAGGGGUUUUUACAUGUUGAUAAAUAUAUAUAUAUAUAUAUAUAUAUAUAUAUAUAUAUCACAUGUUUGUUGAAAAGAUUGAAAAGAAUGGUCUUUGCAUAAUUUGAUAAAUAUUUUUGGACGAAUGAAUCUUCUUGAAUUAUUUGAAGUAUAGUGGUCUAAACUUUAUAUUUUGAAAGACCGUGAUAUGAUAUUUAAUGGCUCAAAAACAUGACUUGCAAGUCUUGGUAUGACGAUACCAAAUCAGACAAUGCCAUGACAGACAUAGAAUUGAAUAGAAAUCAGAUUUCACUCAGAUUUUUAGAUUUUGAAUUCAGAAAGUUGCAUGUUUAGAAAAGUUUAAAAAUGGUUUUAAAGAGAGUUAGAUGGUUACCCGAAGAAAGUACGAGUUGAAAGACUCUAUGCUAGAAAUCGUGAUUUGCCGACACGGGAUUAUGGUACCAUGCUUUGUGAUCUUGUGCACCUUGAUUCAUGUCAUCCCAAAUUGGGAUUUAUGGUUAGGAGCCCUGCUUUGUGAUCUUGUGCACUACCAUGCCAUGUUGACUUGAUUGAGGAUUAUGACACCCUGCUUUGUGAUCUUGCAUGUCCUUCCUUGCUGACACUCCAAUCCUUGCGGCAAACUUAGAUUGGGGUCUUGGCCGCCGAGUUAAGAGUGCAUUCUAUAUAGCCCGUGAGAUUGUAGAAAUGUAGGGUGUACCACCUAGCUCAGAAGUAAUACAAAGAAUGAAAUCGCAUUGACAAGAUUUCUUUAAGAUCUUUUGAAACGGCCCAUGUAUUUUAAACUAUUUCAUGCAUAAUAUUUUAUGACUUGCUCACACCUAUGUUAUAUAUGUAUAAAUUCAUUAUUUUGGAUUGACCUGCGUACCAAUGCAUCUGUAUUGACCCCAUAUAUUCACUACAAGAUAGUAGAGAUACGAUGACAUUAUACAAAUGUCAUAUUAAGGACUUAAAAUGUCAUAAAUUUGUCUACCGACAUUUAAUUUACAUUUGAAACAAAUGUCGCGAAUUUAAGUGUCGGAAAUGUUUAUAACAUUUAGGUAAAUGUCGGAAAAAAAUUAUGAAAUUUACUUCGAGACAUAUAGGUAAAUGUCGAAAUAAAUUUACGACAUUUAUUUGCAACAUAUAGGUAAAUAUUGGUAAGAAAUUUACGAUAUUUUAUCUUUGACAUUUAGACAAAAGUUAGUAUGAGAUAUAUGACAUUUUAUUUUUGACAUUAAGGUAAAUAUCGAUAAGAAAUUUAUGACAUUUAUAUGAAAUGUCACUUAAUUUCUAACAUUUAGAUUAAAUGUUGGUAGAUUUUUCUUUGUGACACUUACUUAUAACCUUUAUAAAAUGUUGUAUUGAAAUUACCAACGUUUUAGUUAAUGUCAAUAAAUAAAAUAUUAAUGUCGUAAAAUUUAGUGACAUUCAUUUAGAACAUUGCAAAUUUGUCAUUAAUAUUAUUGCAUUUAGAUUAACGUUCUGUAUCAUUUUAAAUAUGGAUACAAAUUCUCUAUUAUUUUUCCCAUGACAUAAAUAUUUAUAUUUAAUUUAAUCUAUACAUUCAUAAGUAACAACCAUAUGAAAUAUAUGUAAAGUAAAUGUUUUCUAAUAUUAUAACCAAAGAACAAAAUAGAAAAAUAAUAUUUAUAUUUAAGAGUCAAAAUCCCAUCCACAAGGAUACAUCAUUACUGUCAACAAAAGCCUCUAAUCCAAAGAAUACCAAUUAAGUCGGGACAUGCCCCCGACUAUGACAAAGGAAAUUCAAAGUUCUAAGAUAAUAGAUAAAAACUAAAAGAGAGACCAGGCCUUUCGAAAGAUGGAGGGCUGACCACUUCACAGUUGAUCGGCCGAAUAACUAGUUAGAAAUUCAUCAACCACAAUAUAAUUGCUCACUACGAUAAAACCAGCAGGUGUAACUAGUUACAAAUCCAUCAACCACAAUAUGUUCAACAAUCAAAUUUUUUUUGACAAAUUUCAUAUUACGACACUUUCGGCAUGGACACAAGAUUGAAGAUGCAUUAGGGCUAUCUAAAUACGCAAAAUGAAGAAAUCUCAUAUAAUGGAUCAAGCCUGUUCAAUAAGUUUAUCCAGCUCUUAUCCAUUUUAAGAGUAUAACCUGUACAUGUAGCAAAAAAGAGGAAUGAACAAAAUGUGUUUUUUCUUGAUUAAAGCUUCCCAUAUUAUUAUUGUUUAGGCUAACAAAGUUGUACAUGUUCAUUUCUACGAACUAAAAAAAUACUUUUGAAAAUUCUUACACAUCAAAGAAUUAGACCUCCAUAAUAUUAAACAAAAUAAAAAGGCACACAAUAAUCUACAAAUCAAUGUUCUUCUAGUACUGUUGCCUUUAUUGUAUACUCAAAUCUGCAAAUCAAUGGCAAACUUUCGAUAAACAUAUAAAAUAGACGUCCGUUUUUUUGGCUAUUUCUAGUAAGAAAAUGACCCUUUUAGAAUCGUAUAGAAAAUGAAGAUUUGUAAUUUCUCUAACACCUUUCGUUAAAGAGAUACUGUCCGUAUACAGAUUGCAAAAAUACAGACAAAUUCCUUCGGGAUACAAUAAAGUAGCCAUUUUGUAGUUAAUUUCUAUGUUUAUAUAGAGCAAAGACCAGGCCAUUUUGCAAUGAUACUUUAUUACAUAAACAACGACUGUAUAACCAUCAUGCUAUUAUAUGUAAAUUGCAACUAAAAAAAGAAAUAAUGCAACUAGACUCAUGCAAGAAGAUGGGAAAGCAAAUUAACUUGUUCAAACACAUUUAAGAUCACACAAAAAGGCCGAGUACUAGUGCAAAAUUUCCAGUUCUGACUAUAGAAUCAUGGGAGUCAGCCCAUACAAGAGCUUUAUGUUUCCAUGAACAACACCCUAUACUAUCUAGCAUAUCAAACUAAACAAGAACAACAAGCAUUAUUAUUCCAGAGGUGAACAAAAAGACAAUCUCCAGAGGAAUUUUAAUACCAUGUUGGCUCACUCUAUUAUAGCAGAAAGGAAUGCACUUACAGAGAGGCUUUAUUUCAACAAUAGCCUUACCACGGUUGUAAAGGAUCUCACCUCCAUUAUUAACUGCACAUGAGCACCUCUUGGGAUCAAAACAUCUACCAAUACAAUCACAGCCUUUAGGUGAAGCAGGGUGGAAACCAACUGGAUACAUCAUCUUCUUAAUGAACUUGAAGGGUGGGGGUUUCUCACCAUCAAUUGUGUUCACAGCUGUUAUAGGUAGUAACUCCUUCCCUUCUGUAAUAUCAUGAAGGCAAACACCAUGCCACACUUCAUAACUUUUUGAUAACUGGACUUCUCUCCUAGUAACCUCUGAUUGUCCAGGAAUACUCACCAACUUGAACAUAAAUACCAUCGUACCAUGUUUCCCUCUUUCUGUCCAAUAAUUUUCAACAGUGUAUAAACCAUCAUAUACACAAGUUGUCACCGCCACCCACUCAAUUCAGAAGUCCUAGUCUCCUAAACCAACGAAUCACCCAAACUGGAUUCAUUGUAGCUACACUAUUCUUCAAGGCUAAAUUACCAUUCACAAGUUUCUGGUCUUCAGGAAUUUUGACCUUGCCAACGACAUUUCCACCUCGACCAGAAUAAAUCAGCUCAUGAGCAUCUCCCACAUCAUCAUCAUAGGCCCCUGCAGCAAAAAUACUAGUUGCAACCAACAGUCCUCUGUCCAUGAAAUCAAUACUAGCCUCAUAUAAGUGAUGAACUCCCACAAGAACAAAUUCAACCCUAUAUUGGAACAAACCUCCAACUUCUCCUGGUAUCUGAUAUCCUGUAUUUACUUCCUUCCCUUUUUCUUUGACGUUUUUUGCUGUUUGAAGAUCAAUCGUUAUGAUUUUAUCCUUCUUACCUGACUCUGAUUUUUCCCCUUGCAAGAUUUUUUCUACCGUUAGAAUGAGUCUCUCUAACUCUACUACGAGCAACACUGCAACUGAAACUCUUUGGACCUAAGAUGGUCAAGUCACAUCAAACGCAUACUUCCCCUGUCCAAUAGGAGAAUCCUCACGUGGUGCUUCACAAUUCAAACUACAAGUUCCAUAAUUGUUGAAAACAAGUGCACUUAAAUAUCCUGCCACAGCUUCACCAACAAAACCUUACACCUGCCAAACAGUCUCCUGAUUUUUUGGUUUAGGAACACUUUUGCUGGCAACACCAAAGGAUUUCUGUCGAUACAUGUUACGCUUUUAAACUUGGUUUCUAUUCAUUUGGCCUUCUAAGCUAGAUUCAUUCCUCUGCCUCCAGUCGAUGGAUGUCUCAGCCAUCAGACCUUGCACAAUUGGCUUAGUAGUUUGUUUCCUCUGCCUCCAUGGAGAAAAGUCUUAUCCGUCAACCCAUGCACCAUUAGCCCAAUAAUUUUAUCUCCAGAACCAAAACUAUAUCUUGCAAUAGUCUCCUAUUCACGGUUAUUCGGUGAAUUUACAACAAUCUCCUUCCGCACAAUUUUUCCUGUAUUUCCAUUCUCCUUUUUUGUCAUCACCUUUGGCAACAUUACAGUUACUUCAAGUUGGCUACUUCCAACAUAGUUAUCUCGGACAUUUUCGGGGUCUUCAAAGUGAGUUGUUCUUCUUUCCAUUAAGCUUCAUUUAAGACCACACAUCUAAGAAGCUUAUGCGUGAUCGCACAAAAAGGCUGAGCAUUUGUUCAAAAAUUUCAGUUCUGAUUAUAGGAUCAUACGAGUCAGCCCGUACAAGCUUAUGUUUCCAUGAAUAUAGACACCCUAUACUAUAUCCAUGAAUAAUUAAGAAUGAAAGAGUCACUACAAAAGAUCACAUUUCAAGUACCUAUACCUAAACAUUUCAACUCACUAAUUCAUAAUUCAAGUUACUAAACUUAACUAAAUUCAAAACAAAAGAUCAUAUUUCAAGCACCUACACUUAAACAAAUCGAAGUAACUAAUUCACUUCACAAGUUACAAAAUCUUAACAAAAUUCAAAACAAAAGAUCACAUUUCAAAUACCUACACUUAAGCAAAUCGAAGUAACUAAGUCCCUUCUCAAGUGACCACACUUUACUAAAUUCAAAACAAAACUUCACAUUUCAAGUAACUACACCUAAACAUUUAAAGUUGCUAAUUCACUUCACAAGUUACCAAACUUAACUAAAUUCAAAACCCAAGUUCACCUUUCAAGUACCAACACCUAAACAUUUUCAAGUAACUAAUUCACUUCUCAAGUGACCACACUUUGCUAAAUUCAAAACAAAAGUUCACAUUUCAAGUAACUACACCUAAACAUUUCAACUCACUAAUUCACUUCACAAGUUACCAAGCUUAACUAAAUUCAAAACAAAAGAUCGCAUUCCAAGUACCUACACUUAAACAAAUCGAAGUAACUAAUUCACUUCUAGAGUGACAACACUUUACUAAAUUCAAAACAUAAGUUCACAUUUCAAGUAACUAUACCUAAGCAAAUCGAAGUAACUAAGUCCCUUCUCAAGUGACCACACUUUACUAAAUUCAAAACAAAACUUCAGAUUUCAAGGAACUACACCUAAACAAUUCAAGUCGCUAAUUCACUUCACAAGUUACCAAACUUACCUAAAUUCAAAGUCCAAGUUCACCUUUCAAAUACCUACACCUAAACAUUAGCAAGUCACUAAGUCACUUCUCAAGUGACCACACUUUACUAAAUGCAAAAUAAAAGUUCACAUUUCAAGUAACUACACCUAAACAUUUCAAUUCACUAAUUCAUUUCUCAAGUGACCAAACUUAACUAAAUUCAAAACAAAAGAUCGUAUUUCAAGUACCUACACUUAAACAAAUCAAAGUAUUUCAAACUUCUUUAUCUUAUUCUUAAUAAAUAUGGUAAACCCUUCCCACUUAAAUCUAUUCUUAUAAUAGGUCUCAAGAAUUAAAAAAAAUAUUGAUUUGGCCCAUUAACUUUCCACUUACAAUUUCAAACUUUCUUUUAUAUUUUUUCUUUUCUUUUUAUCAUCAUUUAUGCUUUUGUUUGUCACUUUCUUGCCUAGCUAUUCAGUAAGCUCACCUGAGUGACAUAAUUUAGUGGCUAGGUUUCCAGAAGCUAACAACAAAUCAAAAAGAAACUUAGGUUUACUAACAUGAAAGAAGACAAACUUAAGUCCCAUAAUACAAUGUAUUUCACAUAUACUCAGAUGAAUUACCGAUUAGUUUAUCUUACGUUAUUAUAUAUAUACCUUCAACAGUAAAUUUGGUUUAAAUCGUAUAGUCCGAAGAGAAAUUAAAAUCCUUUUCGAUAAAUAGUGAUGAAUAACUUAAAAAGGUAUUCAAAAUUAGGAGUAGAUAUCAAUAAUUAGCAAUUAAUUAUAUAUUUUAACGAUAAUUUUGUCAAUUGUAGUUAAAAAUGACAUUUGUAAUAAACAUCUAAUAUAUCCGACGUUUAUAUCAAAUGCCACUAUUUUAGCAUGAUUUUCACUAAAUAUCACUGAAAUCAAUGACAUUUACAUUAAACGUCAUAAUAUAUUUGACAUUUGCGUCAAAUGUCACUAUUUUCUCGACUCUUUUGCUAAAUGUCGCUAAAUUCAAUGACAUUUUGCAACAAAUGUCCUUAUUUUAUUGACAUUUUUUAUCAAAUGUCGUCGUUUUUACGACAUUUGAUGUCAAAUGUCAUUAUUUUACGAAAAUUGUUCAUAAAUGUCAAGAAAUUCUUCAUUUUCUGACAUUUAUUUCAAAUGUCGCUAAAUAAAUGUCAUCGUAUCGUCAUUUUCUUGUAGUGAUUUCAGGAUUAUGAUGCACAGUCCUAGGGUCCCGUUAAGCAGUAGAUUAACUUGUCACAAGUUCGCAGCUGGUGAGCCUCCCUUAUUACGGAGGGUCUAAUGUAUAUGUCAUUGUUAUUUAUUUUGAUUCAGGGUCCGACUGGAGGCCUUGUCCCAGUCUUUAGACAGGGAUUAUUUUCAGUUAGUAGAGAUUUCGCAGACAAGUGUUAGAUGUUGAUCUUUAUGAAUUUAUUUCAGUAUUGAGUAGUUUGAAAUAAAAGUUGAUCAUGAUUCCGUUGUAAUCAUUUUCCACAUUUUUUCUUUAUUGUAUAUGAAUGGUGUUCACGAUUGUCAGAUAGAAAGGGGUGCCCGGGCCUUUAUGGUUCGAGAUGCUCGUCGCAGUCAGGGCCCCAGCUCGGGUCGUGAAAAACUUGGUAUCAUAGAACGGUUCAAGGUCCCAGGGUGUCUGCGAAAUUGAGUCUAGUAGAGUCUUUCUUAUGAGUGUAUCGUGCACCACACUUAUAAUCAGGAGGCUACCGGGCAUUUAGGAGUUGUUUCUUAUUCUUUCAUACUCUAGUUCUGCUAUCGAGUUGUCCAUGAGAGAGUUAUAUAAAUUCAUUCCUUGUUCUAAUUUCAUGGGCCAUGCCUCACUGUCGAGAUAGUACAAGUCUAAGAGUCUAGCUCCUCAAUGAUGUUGUUUUCUCUGAUUGAGUCAUCCAUAAAGUUAUGAGACAACAUGAGGACUUGGGAGGAGUCCAUUAGUCUUCAGGUUAUAUUGAUUUGAGUGUAUGCUUUUAUUAUUAUGAUGAAAUCGUGCUUUUCAUCUUAAGAUACAAAGUCUAUUCUGUCCCCUUUCAAAAUUCUUGUUGUGGAUAUCAUGCAUAAGUGUAAUGAUGUUUAGCAGAAUGUCGGAACUAUAUUUCCACUCGAGUAGUAGAAAGUAAUAAAGUGUCAUGAUCUAUUGGUAGUAAAAUGGGUCAAGAAGUUGGUGAUAUGAAGUCACAAGGCUAGAAGUCAGAGUGAGGGUGUUUGUGAAGGAAGUGACUAGAUAUGAUUAUUAUUAAUUGAAAAUAGAGAAGGAGCUCAAAGUGGAUAGUUAUGGUGGUUAUAGAAAUGAUUUAUAGGUUAUGAAUGGAAAAAGAUAGACUAGUCAAUAAGUUAUGGGUAAAGACUCAUUGGUGUUUCUGGAAUUUGGUGAUAGUGAGAAUAUAUACAUGUGUCACGACCCGAAUCGGGGCCCUGGCCAUGACGAGUAUUCCGAACCAUAAAGGCCCGAAACAACCCUAUCUGUCUAGUAAUCAUGCACUUAAUUCAUAUUAUAAAAGAAAUGCGGAAGAUAUAGAAUAUAACGGAAACAUAGUCAAGAAUCAUAUAAAACAAUAAUGGGAAUAAUGUCCCAUAAUCUCAAUCAACAUCUCGAAAACCGUCUGUGAAAUGUCUACUACAUGACUGAAACAAGUAACUAUCUGAAAAAUGGGACAAGGCCCCCAGUAGACCCAAAACUAAUAAAUGAUCAAUGAAACUGCCAGAUAUUAGGCCUUUCGGAAUAAAGAAGGAUCACCAAGGGACUCUGCAAAUCUGUCUGAGGAAUCUAUUGAUUUUUUGGACCACUAGCUGUACCUCCGAACCUAGGAGGGAAGGGUAUCAAUACAAAAGUACUGGUACUCAGAGAAAUCAAAACAAAAACAUAAUAUUUACAAAAUAUAGGUGAGAUCCAUUAAAAAAUAGUUUCAUAUCAAAUCACUUGAAAGCACAUGGACAAAAUGUAAUAGUUUUCAACAGCAAUGUAAUGCAGCCGAGUUAGGUGGAAUACCCUACAUAUAACAUUUACACCAACUGUCAAACCUUGGUUGCUUCCAAGAUUAGAGUAUAAGUGAGGGGAAGACACACAAGAUCACACAACAGGGUGUCCCAACCCAAUAAAGUAUAGUAGUGCCCAAGAUCACUUAGCCUGGGCUCCUAACCAUAGUCCCAAUUUGGGAAUGAAAUAAAUUCAAGUACACAAGAUCACAUAGCUUGGUACCAAAUUCCCAUAUCGACAAACACGGUUUCCAGCGAUGAGCACUGAUACUCAAAUGCCUUCUUCGGGUAUCCACUUAUCUCAUGAAAAGUCAAUGCAUUCAACUUUAUUUAAUCCCAUCACAUAUCAUAUUCUGUAAGGUAUCGUCAUACCUGACUUGCAAGCCAUCAAUAUCACAUCAUUAUUUCAUGCAACCAUUAAAUUCAUCAUAUUUCAACGAAACAACCCUCUCCUUGCAAGUCAAAAGUCAUAACCAUUUUUGAAAUAUCUCAUUUUAUGACUGUCAAGAUAAUUUCAAACAUUUCAUAUCAUAUGAGAAUUCAAAACAAAAUCAUAUCAAGAGAGGAAUUUCAUAUAAUUCAUUCUCUCAAGUUAACAUAUUUUUGGAAUACAGGCAUAUACGUAUAUCUUAUAUCAAAUCACUUUGGGAAUAGGCCUAAAGACCAAAUCAAUAUCAUAAAACGUUUAAAACAUAAUCAUAUUCGUAAUUUCAAAACCCCCAUUUUGAAAAUAUGAAUUUUAAAGCCCAUGAGAUUUUUGAGAUAACCCCACGUACCUCUAUAUGCGGAGAUACUAGAUGUUUCUUGAAGCUCGCGGAUUGGUCAUUCCGUAUAUGUAAUUAUCUUCGAAAACCAUCUUGAGUUGCUUGGGUUUUUAUUUUGAAACCCUAAGGAGAGUUAUUGAGAGAAAAUUUGAGAAAAGGAUUAUAUUUUGAUAAAUUGGGUGCUAAAUCUGGUGUUAUAGAUGAAAUUUGAGUGAGGUAAAAUGGCUAAAAUGCCCCUAAGAAAACAAACAAAGUCGAAACUGUCCCUCAGUUGACAAGCUGACAGGAUGAAGUAAAACAGGUAUAACUCCUUACUCAGAUUUUGGAUUUCGAUUAAACUAGUUGCAUUCGAAAGAAGACACAAAGAGAUUUCAUUUUAUAGGUAGCAGCUCUCCCAGUUCAUUAUAUUCAGGGAGUUAUGAUCGUUUGAAGUUGACCCUGAAAUGCUGAAAACUGGGCAAUAGGCUAUGCGUUUUGCUACUGUUUUGAAAUCCAAACGCAGCCUUAUGCAUUCUGAAAAAUUCCGAAACUUAUCCGAGAUGUACUAUGAGAUUUUCCGAUCAUAAUGCAACUUGAAAAUCUAAAAACGGAUGUCGGGAAGGUUGAAAAGUUGUAUCCCGAAGAUUGUCAGCUAAAAUGACUCUAAGUCCUCAUUACACUUAGAAAAUUUUUCAAGUUUUUAAGUCUAAGUGUACUCUAUUAGAGGCUAAUCCAUGCACGAAUUUUAUGGGGUGUUACAUUAUCUCCCCCUUGGGAUCAUUCGUCCUCGAAUGAUGGGUAGAAACUUGUUGAAGCCUUAAAGGUAUGAAUAAUACGGGCACGACAUGUCCUCUAAUAAAGAAUACACGGAUCUGAAACAUGACCAUAUGGUUGGAACUAUUGAUAUUCUGAACUCUUAUAUCGGAUAUGCAUAUCUGAUGCAUGGAAUACACAACUAAAGCUACUCAUAAGCUGAGUUCUCAUAAUGAACAUGCAUAUCUGUUGCAUGGAUUUGUUACUGAGUUGUUCUUAUGAAUGCAGAACUAAAUACACUGAUAAGCUGAACUUUUUCUAUUGGACAUGUAUUUCUAAUGCAUGCAUAGCUGACUGAACUGACGUACGAACGUAUGACUGAAUACGCAAUGGUAACUGGUGCGAAGCUUGUAAUAAGAAUCUAUGCAUGCAACUGAAUGGGGUAUCUCCCCCUUGGGACCCUAUGUCCCUCUAUGAAUGCUCAAUUCACUAAGAUGAUCAGAAAACUGAGGCGAUGCACACGACACAUACGAAUUGAAUCAUAGCUGAACCUCUGGAAUCUGAAUCUAAUGCAUGAUGCAUGAACUUGCCUAUACUCGCAACUAUUGGUAUACUCUAUCUUGGAAUAGUAGUAUGUUUGAGAUUUCGAGUAGCAUGAACAAAUGAAAAGAUGAGAAAACAAGUCAUGCAAAUCUGACUAUUAAACUGGCUUACUGACUAUACAGACUGAAUUAUGCAGGACCUUUAUACUUAACUGGAGUAUCUCUUCAACACUCUCUCUAAAGAACUUUUGGCAGUAAUAGGGAGCCACGAAUGUUGGGUAUGGAUUACACAAGACAUCCAACUAAGGAAAUCACAACAUUGACACUACUCUGCAGUCUGGAAUAUGGACAUAUAACUCAUAAAUUAGGAUAGAAUUACCAGACCUUUGGCAAUACAACUUUUUACUUUCAAGCUUAGCACACUUCUCGAAUAUCCCUUAACUAUACUAUUCCCUAUAAAUAUCAUAUUCAUUCAAUUUGGCUUAAAAUUCUCAUAUGAGCAUUGACAAAUUUUUUCUACUAAUGUCUAAAAUAGCUUAAUCCUUACACCGCGAUCAAGCCUUACUCUAAGUCACAAAAAUACAACAUGCUACACCAUGCUAUUAUUAUAAACCAUAUGAUGCCACCUUCUAUACCUCUUUUAAAGAUCACAUCCUAAGCAUAACAUGCCUUACCACUUCAAUGACUACUCUGAACUCUUAAUAUGAAGUCGCUAAUGCAUAUUGCGACCUUCUACUGCGAUCCCAAAACGUCAUUCAAGCCUAUUUUAUAACCGCAUGUUAACUUCAAGGAAACCACCCAUAAAUACAUACUUCACAUAGUUUCUAAACUAUUGUCAAUAUAACUCCUAUGCGCUACCCUAAAAAUAUACACACAAAAACUUUUCCACUAACCAUCACAUGUAUCAAAACUUGCCCCCAACCUUACUUCACACUUAAGGCCUUAUCUAAAAACAAGCAUACUAGGAUCUUCCAUCAGCAAGAAACACUUACUCAUCACCACUAUCAUCACAUAAAGAGGAGUCACUAAAGAUUAGUACAUAAGAUCUUGAAGCAUGGAAAGAUAUUAUAUGAAACUUGACACUUAACUGAGGCCUGAGGAAUGGCAAAACAACAUCCGGGAUUUAUCAAAGAAAGAUCUAAAUUGGGACAUAUAUGGCUAUGAACUAUAUUUUGUCCAUCAUAAAGAAUAUAGCAUGGAUUUAUGGGAACUAAGCACACUAUAAGAUUGAAUAUAUGAGUCAUGAACUGCAUGACCUCAAUUUAGAGUUCAUAACAUAUGGAAUGUGAUCCCGACUGCUAAAUGAACUGAAGUUCCUCAUUUAGGAAUCUGGAGGAGCACGUGAUUCUCUAUCAUAUACAUGAAUAUGAACUAUGAUUAUCGAACUGACUUGUAAGGCAUGAGCAUGUAUUGGGAUCACUGAAAACACUGAGAUAGGAAUGGGUUGAGUCACCCUCCCUUUUUAACGUUCUAUACUGUCAUGACAUCACUACUAGAAUCUGAGAUACUGACUUGGUUACUUGUUCUAUCAUCUCUCCCCCUUGACUUUAAGCCAUCGUCUUAAGCUUGGGAGAUCCCUUACUAAACUUUAAGCUUAACUGCACUCACUGUACUCUGGGGUCUAAAAUAUGACAAUAUGCACAAUUAAUAGAACUUAACCCGAAAGACCACACAUGAAAGUGGAAAGCCCACUGCUAAUACUACCUUUUGAGAUACACUGUAUAUUUUGAUAGCCCCAAUAGUCAUAGUAUAAGGCUUGCACAUUUAUUUCUAUCGGUUCAACCUUCAAAACUCAAACUUAGAUUCUAACACUUAACAUGGAUAUCACAAUGCCUUUGAUGAACCAAACCACUUUCGACAUAGUGUACCAGUAUCGCGACUCCAAACUUAUUUCUCAUCACUAUGAGAAUCAAGAUCAUAAUAGAGACCCAACACUACCAAUCAAAACUUUUUAACUUGGCUAUCUAGAACACCAUAUACCAUCUAACUAGUCUUUUUCCACCUAGCAACUCAACGGUACCACUAGCCACACAAAUCAUGUAAUGGCCUUAGAAAAAUACUGCAACCUCAUAUCACCUUGGCAUACUUCUACAUCACACAUACAUCAUACUUCAUUACGAAUCAAUUAAACUUAAUCUCUUGCAUACACUGUUCAAGCCUAUUAGAUCACUUCUAUAAAACUGGUAUUAUUACCCGAGCAAUCAUCUCAUCCACCUUCAAUGGUUCAAACUUGAUGUCUAGUGCUAAACAUAAUUUGUACAACCCAACCUUAUGCAUAAUUCUCACUUGGAAACUAUGAAAUAAACAUCAAGAAACACUAGUAUGCUAGAACUUCACAACCACAAUAAUCGAUCAUGACCUUACGACUUUCCUUAUCAUAAUCCAUUUGCACGUACUAUUUCAACACAUAUAACCUACUAAUUUAAUCUAAUAAAACAAGCAUCAUCAAUCUCAUGCCACCAUUCUUACAUUCCACAUUCUACAUUAAAUUCAAGUCAAUGGUCUAGCAUCAAUCAUCUACCACCAAUGACGAGUGCAACAUACUAUCCUAGUCCAUAAAAUUGACACAUUCUAUUCAAACACCUCAAAAUCCACUACAUAUCUUCUCACAAGUUGUACUAGUUUACAACUACCAACGAAAAGAAUGUUAAGGGGUAAAGUUACAUAAUAGACAUGAUCAACCCUAAUUUUAUAUUAUAACCCUAUACAAUCUUUUCUACUUAUACGGAUUUCUCACCUCAUACUUACUCACUCAAUCAUACAUUUAGACUGCCUUCAAUUUCCACAACAACCAUGAGUCUAUAAUUAUAGCUUAUUGGCUAAUAUAGCCAUUUUCACACUUCAAGCAACCGACAAAUCACCCUAACUAACAAAUCCUUCUCUACCUUCUACUAAAAUAACACACAAGGACGUAUGACUUCAUUACCAACUCAAUCUCAUGGGAAAAGAUCCGACUAUACAAAUAUUCAACUAACACAAGAACAACAAGUUGCUAGUGAAUCGAAAUAGGCCUCACACGGCUUCACUAGACUUUGAUUUUUUUGUGUUUUGAACAAGAAAAUGAAAUGAAUAACAAAGUAACUAUGCUAGUGAAUAGAAAAAGUCCCACAUGGCUUCACUAGACUUUGAUUUUUUUUUUUUUUAAAAAAACACCAUGAUAACAAGAUUACAUAUUACAAGAGCUAGAAAGUUGAUACACAAUUUUCAAUGAUCUAAGGAUACACAUCUUACUCUGUAUAAAUAAAAAUUUGAGUCAAAAACUUCCUCCACGGACUACCAUACAAUCCGCAAUUAGUAAUACCAUAUUAGCCUACCACAAAAAAAAUGAUAAAUCAUUCUCAAUCAAUGGUUAUUCGGCUAUAAAUAUUUAUUUUUACAAAGGUCACUCUCACUCUGACCCCUAACCUUGUGACUUAAUAUCACCAACUUCUUGGUCUAAUUUUACUACCAAUAGGUCAUGGCAACAACACUUUAACUUAUGUUACUAUUUGGGUGGAAAUAUAGUUCCAACAUUCUGCUAUACAUUGUCCACAUCUGUAACAAGAUUUUGAGAGGGAUUAGAUGCACUUAAUACCUUAAGCUGGAAAGCACGAUUCUAUCAGGAUCAAUGUUUACAUUAGAAUCAACACAUAUUGAAGAACUAAUAGACUCCCCUCGAGUCUUUGCAUAAUUUUUAAAAUCUUAUAUGACUCAAUCGAAAAGGACUAUAUCAUUUAGAUUCUAAACUUUUUGCAUUUGAAUCACCCUAAUAAUGGGACAUGUAUGAGAACAUCAGAGUAAAGAAAGAAUUUUGGGAUGACUUUACUUUCAUACGGGCGACACCAUAGCACGAAUGAGAGUAUGAAAGAGGAACACUUUGACUCUAUUGCACGAACUAGACAUGAAGAAAGAGAGACAUUCCUAAACCCUAGUAGCCUCUUACUUAUAAGUGUGGCGUGCUACAAACCAAUAAACAAGACUCUACCCAAUGCCCCCAGUAGACCUAAAACUAAUAAAUGAUCAAUGAAACUGCCAGAUAUUAGGCCUUCCGGAAUAUAGAAGGAUCACCAAGGGACUCUGCAAAUCUGUCUGAGGAAUCUACUAAUUUUCUGGACCCCUAGACUGUGCCUCCAAACCUGGGAGGGAAGGGGAUCAAUACAAAAGUACUGGUAUGCAGAGAAAUCAAAAUAAAAACAUAAUGUUUUUACAAAAUAUAGGUGAGAGCCAUUAUAAAGUAGUGUUAUAUCAAAUCACUUGAAAACACAUAGGCAAAAUGUAAUAGUUUUCAACAACAAUGUAAUGCAGCUGAGCUAGGUGGAAUACCCUACAUAUAACAUUUACACCAACUGUCAAACCUCGAUUGCCACCGAGAUUAGAGUAUAAGUGAGGGGAAGACACACAAGAUCACACAACAGGGUUUCCCGACCUAAUAAAGUAUAGUAGUGCCCAAGAUCACUUAGCCUGGGCUCCUAACCAUAGUCUCAAUUUGGGAAUGACAUAAAGUUAAGUACAGAAGAUCACUUAGCCUGGUACCAAAUUCGCAUGUCGGCAAACAAAGUUUCCAUAUAUGAGCCCCUACACUCAAACGCCUUCUUCGAUCAUCCACCUAUCUCAUAAAAAAUCAAUGCAUUCAACUUCAUUUAAUUCCAUCACAUAUCAUAUUCUAUAGGGUAUCGUCAUACCCGACUUGCAAGUCAUCAAUAUCACAUCAUUCUUUCAUGCAACCAUUAUAUUCAUCAUAUUUCAACGAAACAACCCUCUCCUUGCAAGUCAAAAGUCAUAACCAUUUUUGAAAUAUCUCAUUUUAUGACUGUCAAGAUAAUUUCAAACAUUUCAUAUCACAUGAGAAUUCAAAACAAAAUCAUAUCAAGAGAGGAAUUUCAUAUAAUUCAUGCUCUCAAGUUAACAUCUUUUCGGAAUGCAUGCAUAUACGUAUAUCUUAUAUCAAAUCACUUCUGGAAUAGGCCUAAAGACAAAUCAAUAUCAUAAAACGUUUAAAACAUAAUCAUAUUCGUAAUUUCAAACCCCCCAUUUUGAAAACAUGAAUUUUAAAGACCAUGAGAUUUUUGAGAUAACCCAACGUACCUCUAUAUGCGAAAAUAAUAGGUACUUCUUUAAGCCUACGUUGCGGGAAUUCCAAAUCUUCAAUUUAGUUUGAAAACCCACGGUUGAAUCUUAAGUUACUUGGGUUUUUAUUUUGAAACCCUAAGGAGAGUUCUUGAGAGAAAAUUUGAGAAAAAGAUUAUAUUUUGAUGAAUUGGAGGCUAAAUCUGGUGUCAUAGACGAAAUUUGAGUGAGGUGAAAUGACUAAAAUGCCCCUAAAAAACAAACAAAGUCGAAACUGUCCCUCAGUUGACAAGCUGAUAGGCUGAAUUAAAACUGGUAUAACUCCUUACUCAGAUGUUGGAUUUAGAUGAAACUAGUAGCAUUGGAAAGAAGACUCAAAGAGCUUUAAUUUUAUAGGUAGAAGCUCUCCUAGUUCAUUAUAUUAAGGGAGUUAUGAUCGUUUGAAGUUGACCCAAAAAUGCUGAGGCAAUAGGCUUUGCGUUUUGCUACUGUUUUGAAAUUCAAAUGCAGCCUUAUGCGUUCCGAAAAUUUUCGAAACUUAUCCGAGAUGUACUAUGAGCUUUCCCUAUCAUAAUUCAACUUAAAAAUCUAAAAACGGAUGUCGGGAAGAUUGAAAAGUUGUAUCCUUAAUAUUGCCAGCUAAAAUGACUCUAAGUCCUCAUUACACUUAGAAAAAUUUUCAAGUUUUUAAGUCUAAGAGUACUCUAUUAAAGGCUAAUCCAUGCACGACUUUUACGGGGUGUUACAACAUGGCUAAGUAAAUAUGAUGUGAGAAAUUAGAAUAUGUUGAUAUGAUUGAAAUGGGUUGUAUUAUAAGAUUGAGAUCGACCAUCCUUAUUAUGUAACCUUACCCCUUUGAUUGUCUUUCCUCUAGUAGUUGUAAACUAGCACUGCUUGUGAGAAAGUAUGUAGUAGAUUUUGAGGUGUAGUAGUAUUGUUUUCGAGGUAAAGUGAUUGUAGGUCGUAGUUAAAUGAAAUGAAGUAUUUUGGAUUGAUUUCCAAAUUUGAUGGACUAGUAUAUUAUGUUACAUGCUUCAUCGGCGGUAGAUGAUUGAUGCUAGACUAUAGGCUUGAACUUUAGAUGUAGAAUGUGAUGAUAAGAAUAGUAGCUUAAGAUUAAUGAUGUAUGUUUUGUGGGAAUGAAUUAGUGGGCUUGAUGUGAUUUGUGAAAAAGCCUAAGUUGAUAAUUUAUGAAAAGUGUAAGUGGUAAUUGUGAUAUGUAUAUGUGCAUGACACUAGUGUUAUAACGAUGAAUUGUUGUUGAAUCAUUAAGUGGAUAAGAGCGUGGGUAUAUUAGAAUAAGUUGAACUCUAAGGUAGUAUGUUGCUAGAUAAGGUGAUGUGUACGGGUGUCACGUGUGCCUAGAUUUUGUUCUUGAAUCUUGUAGUAUGGAGAAGUCGGGAAAGUUGUUGUAUGGUAUUCUUUAUAUUUUAAUUGAGGAGAUAUAGGUAGGCAAUGCACGCCUUGGUAUAGUUUUACAGCUUUUGUUAAGUUGUAUCUGAUUAAAGGAGUAAUAAUAGUAUUCUAAGAAUUUGAAGAUGGAGUAUUAAGAGCUUAAAAGUGUGGGUGUCUAUGCCCAUGAAAAUGUUAGUUUUAAGUUGAUGAUUUUGGGAGUUAGAAGUAAUUACAACUAGUGUUUUUGAAAUGGGGAGAUAAUAGAUUGCAGCAGUUUCCGAAGUUUCUUGUGGUGUCUAGUUUCAAGUAAGAAUUAUGAUAAACCAUUUCCUAAUCCUAUUCAAGCAAGCUCCUCCUACUUCGAUUUAAAUGGACAUCUAUCUGUGUCUUAUGUAUUCAGGUCUUGCUUGUACCUAAUGGUUUGAGCUCUCUAUGUAACUCAUGUCAUGUUUCGACCUCAAAACAAGAAGCUAUAAUGUCCCUCAGUGAUCCAAUAUUUCGAGUAUCCAAGCCAUAUGUUAUGUUACUCAUGAUCCAAAUCUCUCAUCUGAUGGCAUGAAGAAAUUUUCCUCUGGGGGGCAACUACAUCACCCGUCACCAGUACAACUGCCAUCUCUUCUACAGACAGUUGGAUACCCACAGUUCCCUCCAUAUGAAAGGGAAAGAUCAGAUAUGACUUCCAAUUUAAGUGCUUUCUCAUCCCAUUGGUAUACCCGUAAUGCCCAUCAGGCUGAAGCUUUAUGAAUUGAGCUGGUGAUGUACGAGAUUCUUGCAGAGCAGUAAGUGUUUGACCAUCAAAACUGAAAUGAAUACUAUCCGGAGAACUUGAAGCAUAGUAAUACUUAGGUGGAUUAGACUCGAUGUAAUACUGAAGGCAAUAUUGAACUGUCAGUGGCUUCGCUCUGUAGGUUGCCAGCUCGAACCUCAGUAGGCUAGUUAAAUCGUAAUACAAGUUGGUUUCAACAGACCAAACCUUCCAAUGCUUUAACCACCAAUGAAAUGGAAGUCCUCUUGGUGAAAUCGCCCUGUAGACACCACGCAGCAAUGCUCAUCAUUUCUGUCACUAUUUCUUUGUGCAUCUGCAUUUCCUCAUUGUUUUUGUCAACCAUAUCCAUGAGUUGUUGUUGAUCCACUUUUCUUUCAAAAACAGUUAGCAAAUGAACAUCUUCAUAAGCCUGGGAUGGGUCUAAAUUUUUCCGCCCACAGAGAACUUCCAAGAGCACAAUACCAAAGGCAUACACGUACACUUUCUCAGUGAUUACUGAGUUCAACCAUUCAGGCGCUAAAUAUCCUCUUGUUCCUCUCAUUCUAGUUUCAAUUUUUCUUUUCUCUGUUUCAAUUAGCUUUGACAUCCCAAAAGUUAGAUAUCUUAUCAUUGAAAUUUUGAUCUAGCAGGACGUUGUGGUUUGAUAUCCAAAUGAAUUAUCUUCUGGCUGCAUUCGUCAUGAAGCUAAGCUAAUCCUUUGGCAAUAUCUGUUAUUAUCCUUCGCCUUGUAUGCCAUGUAAGCCCAUUUUCUUGAUUCUUAUUAUAAAUCCACUUAUCUAGUGAUCCAUUUACCAUGUGUUCAUAGAUCAAAAGCCUUUGUUUUUUUUUUCAGAACAAAAUCCAAUGAGUUUUACCAGGUUGACGUGGUGAAUGCCACAGACUAUCUUUACUUCUGUUAGGAAUGACUCUAUCACAUGACCUAGACCAUCUAGACGCUUUACAGCUAUUUUAAUGCCAUUACUCAUUGUUCCUUCAUAUACAGCGCCAAAAUCCUCCUUCCCCCAGCUUUCUGCUGAAAUCUUCUGUUAUUAUUUUAAUUCAUUGUAAGUGAACCAAGUUAGCAUUCCCGGUAAGAUUGGUUCGAGAUCCGAAAAAUCCCCCGAAUUUCUGGAAUCGCGUGUCCUCUUUUUGAGAAGAACAAAGGAAGCAGUGAUACUUACAAUUAUCCCAAAGAAAGCUGCAAGAGUAGAUCCUAUUAUCACUAUGUGAAAUCUUGAUUGUUUUUUUUUCCUCCAGAAAUGAUUGGAGACUGUUUCUGCGCUUUUGAGGAAUUCUGCACCUUAAGAAAUACUCUCCUGUCCGUUCUUUCGUCAUCUAUGAGAGAAAAGACCUCAUUCAUUAAUAAUCAGCUCCCACUUCUAGCCCCAUCCGAGUCAUCUCUGAAAACCACAGCUUUACAGUGUCUCAGGCAGGUCCUUUUGCAAUUUCCAGCUUUUUUCACCUCAAACCGUAAUUUGGAUGAAGCUAUUUCAUGAUCCAAUUCAAAUGCUAAAUAUGGUGUUAGUAUUCCUUGAGUUAAAGUUAGGACUUGAGUUGUUUGUUGGAUUAUAGCGAUGAGGCAUGUAAUUUAUUAUUUGGGGCGUGGACAAAUAGUGUCUCCAAGUUUUUCAUUGUAUCUUGUAAGAUGGAGAAUGUUAAUAUUCUUAUGUCCUGCGAGAAUCUCAUCUCAUGUCUUGUACCAAUCUUAAUUAGGCCGAAGAUUAUUAUAAAAAAAAAGAAAAAAAUCUUGUCUUACAAUGUUUUGAUCAUGUGCAAUAAAACACAUGCCAAGAUCGUGAGUUUCGUUAUCACAUGUUUCGUGCUUACACGUUUCCCUAUGGGUUAUCAUAAAUCUCGUUGACUGCCUUCGCAUAUUUUGUUGAGGAAAAAUGGUCAACGCGAUGUUACGUUCUUUAUUCUAAAAUUUUAGAGCUUCAAAAUUCCCUACCCAUCAUUCGGGGACGAAUGAUCCCAAGGGGGAUAAUGUAACACCCCGUACUUUCGGGCUAGAAUUUAGACCAUCGUUCCUAUGCGUAUAGACCCGAAAUAAAUUAUUCCUUGUUAAUAUAUGUGUUGUGAUCACUCCUAUAGUGUGGGAAAACCUUUGAAUAUGAAUUGAGGUCACAAGAAUCCCCUAACUCUAAGACGAGUUGAAAACAAUUCUAUCGAUUAAGUUUUAAUGGACACUUCAACUUGGAUCAAAUUUCAUCGACCAUAACUUCUGUUAUUUAAAAAACUGGGUGGAUUUCUAUAUAUCAAAUGAAAGGUAUUUGAGUUCUCUUUCCAACGCAACUGAUUUUGUCCAAAUCCAACAUCGGAGUAAAACGUUAUGCCCAAUUUACUUCAGCAUAUCAACCUAUCAACUAAGGGACUGUUGCGACCUUUUUUGUUUCCUUAGGGGUAUUAUCGUCUUUUCACCCAUCUCACCUCAGCAACAACAUGAAAUAAAAUCAGUAUUUGGGCAAAAUACAUCACAAACUAAUCAAUUCCUCUCAAAAAUCCAACCCUAAUCCUUUCCCUAAAGAUUAAGAACUCAUCCUAAGUUCAAGAAUUCCAGGAAAAGAAACAAGAUCCGGGUUCCAUCUUUCAAACUAAAUUAUCUAAGGUACGUGGGGUUUUCCUAUACCUAUAUGGGCAUGGUAAAUUCUUCUUAAUCAUGCUAAAGGUUUAGAAAUCAUGAAUUUACAAAAAGAGAUUUUUGAUUUAUAAUUAAAUUUAUGCUUUUAAAGUUUUUGAUGAUAUUGAUUUGGUCUUGAGGCCUUUUCCCCAAAUUGAUUUGUAAUCUUAUAUAUGUAUGUAUGUGUUUAAGUUGUUAAUUGAAUUUAGAGCAUGAUUAUUUACGUUUCGUCUCAUGUUGCAAUACCUCUUGAUUUUAGAAUAUUAUUUAGAAGCAUGGUAUCAAUGUUCUUGACUAUUGUUGAACUAUCUAAGAUUGAUUUUAAAUUGAUGAGAGAGGGGUUUUACAUGUUGAUAAAUAUUGAAUAUAUAUAUAUAUAAUGAAAGAAUUGCAUGAUUUUCCAAGAAUACACAACCACCACAUGUUUGUUGAAAUGAUUGAAAAGAAUGAUCUUUGCAUAAUUUGAUAAAUGUUUUUGGAAGAAUGAAUAUUCUUGAAUUAUUUGAAGUAUGGUGGUCUAAACUUUAUGUUUUAAAAGAGAAAACUGUGAUAUGAUAUUUCAUGGCUCAGAAACAUGACUUGCAAGUCUUGGUAUGACGAUACCAAAUCAGACAAUGUUAUGACAGACAUAGAAUUGAAUAGAAAUCAGAUUUCACUCAUAUUUUCAGAUUUUGAAUUCAGAAAGUUGCAUGUUUAGAAAAGGUUAAAAAUGGGCUUAAAGAGAGUUAGAUGGUUACCCGAAGAAAGUACGAGUUGAAAGACUCUAUGCUAGAAACCGUGAUUUGACGACACGGGAUUAUGGUACCAUGCUUUGUGAUCUUGUGUACCUUAAUUCAUGUCGUCCCAAAUUGGGAUUUAUGGUUAGGAGCCCUGCUUUGUGAUCUUGUGUACUACCAUGACAUGUUGACUUGAUUGGGGAUUAUGACACCCUGCUUUGUGAUCUUGUGUGUCCCCCCUUGUUGACACCCCAAUUCUUGCUGCAAACUUGAAUUGGGGGCUUGGCCUCCGAGUCAAGGGAGGAUUCCAUAUAGCCCUUAGGAUUGUAGAAAUGUAGGGUGUACUAUCUAGCUCAGAAGUAAUACAAAGAAUGAAAUCGCAUUGACAAGAUUGCUUUAAGAUUUUUGAAAUGGCCCAUGUAUUUUAAACUAUUUCAUGCAUAAUGUUUUAUGACUUGCUCUCACCUAUGCUAUAUAUGUAUAAAUUCAUUAUUUUGGAUUGCCCUACGUACCAAUACUUCUGUAUUGACUCCCUAUAUUUCAGGAUUCUGAUACACAGUUCUAGGGUCCCGUUAAGCAGUAGAUUGACUUGUCACAAGUUCGCAGCUGGUGAGCCUCCCUUAUUUUGCAGGGCCUAAUGUAUAUGUCAUUGUUAUUUUAUUUUGAUUUAGGGUUUAACUGGGGGCCUUGUCCCAUUCUUUAGACAGAGAUUAUUUUCAGUUAGUAGAGAUUGCGCAGACAAGUGUUAGAUGUUGAUCUUUAUGAAUUUAUUUCAGUAUUGAGUAGUUUGAAAUAAAAGUUCACCAUGAUUCUGUUGUAAUAAUUUUCCACAUUUUUUCUUUAUUGUAUAUGAAUUGUGUUCACGAUUGCCAUAUAGAAAGGGGUGCCCGGGCCUUCAUGGUUCGGAAUGCUCGUUGCAGUCAGGGCCCAGAUCGGGUUGUGACAAUAUGUUCCACAAAAUUCAAUGAAUUGAGUAAUUCCAAAAUUUUAUUGUUCUUUUCUCUUUAAUGAAAUAAAAUAUCUAAGAAGAAAGAAUAAAAUGAAGAUGACAUGGAAUUUGUAUACUAUAGUCUAAGACCAGUUGGCAUAUAUAAAAACAAAAGUAAAUUCAAUAUAUUUNNNNNNNNNNNNNNNNNNNNNNNNNNNNNNNNAUAUAUAUAUAUUCAUUGAUUUCUUCAUAUAUAUUUUAAUGUUAUUUUAAAAUUCUUUUAGUGAAAAUUUUGACUCUACUAUUAACCUAAUCGUCAUAGAUCAAACUAAUUUUUAAUGGAUCAAAAAGUUGGGUGGAUUCUUUUUAAUGGAUUAAUUUUUUUAAAAAAAAUUAAAAAAAAUUGACGUUGACCUCUGAUAUGCUGCCACGUGGCAAAACUAUUUUCUAAAAACCGGCUAUUAAAAGUAAUGACAUGGAUGGGUCAGUUUUGUUACGGCGAUGACAUAAAUGAGC